rnacentral:rRNA from 1 species
GGGGGGGGGGGGGGGGGGGGGGGGGGGGGGGGGGGGGGGGGAGGGGCGGGGGGGCGGGCUGCGCGGGUGGUAGCGGCGGGCGGGGGAGUACGCGGUGGAGGGCCUGCGUAUAAGAGUGGGAGGAGUGCGGGAGAAGGGGGGUGAGAGCGGGGACUCGUUUGAGCGGCAUGGUGCGACAGGGCAGGACGCUCUUGCUGUCACUUAUAGAUGGAUCCGCGCGGCAUGAUCGCGUGGGUAAGGUGACGGCUUACCAAGGCAACGAUGCAGAGCCGAUCCGAGAGGGUGAUCGGCCACACUGGAACUGAGACACGGUCCAGACUCCUACGGGAGGCAGCAGUAGGGAAUCUUCCGCAAUGGGCGAAAGCCUGACGGAGCAACGCCGAGUGAGUGAUGAAGGUCUUCGGAUCGUAAAACUCUGUUAUUAGGGAAGAACAUAUGUGUAAGUAACUGUGCACAUCUUGACGGUACCUAAUCAGAAAGCCACGGCUAACUACGUG